AGAGUUUGAUCCUGGCUCAGGAUGAACGCUGGCGGCGUGCCUAACACAUGCAAGUUGAGCGAUUUACUUCGGUAAAGAGCGGCGGACGGGUGAGUAACGCGUGGGUAACCUACCCUGUACACACGGAUAACAUACCGAAAGGUAUGCUAAUACGGGAUAAUAUAUUUGAGAGGCAUCUCUUGAAUAUCAAAGGUGAGCCAGUACAGGAUGGACCCGCGUCUGAUUAGCUAGUUGGUAAGGUAACGGCUUACCAAGGCGACGAUCAGUAGCCGACCUGAGAGGGUGAUCGGCCACAUUG
rnacentral:rRNA from 1 species